UACGUAGGGAGCAAGCGUUGUCCGGAUUCACUGGGUGUAAAGGGUGCGCAGGCGGGAAGGUAAGUCGGGGGUGAAAUCUCACAGCUCAACUGUGAAACUGCCUUCGAUACUGCUUUUCUUGAGUUCGGGAGAGGUUGAUGGAAUUCCAGGUGUAGCGGUGAAAUGCGUAGAUAUCUGGAAGAACACCAGUGGCGAAGGCGGUCAACUGGCCCGUAACUGACGCUCAUGCACGAAAGCGUGGGUAGCGAACAGG
rnacentral:rRNA from 1 species